rnacentral:rRNA from 1 species
UACGUAGGGUGCAAGCGUUAAUCGGAAUUACUGGGCGUAAAGCGUGCGCAGGCGGUUUUGUAAGCCAGAUGUGAAAUCCCCGGGCUUAACCUGGGAAUGGCAUUUGGGACUGCAAGGCUUGAGUGCGGCAGAGGAGACUGGAAUUCCUGGUGUAGCGGUGAAAUGCGCAGAUAUCAGGAGGAACACCGAUGGCGAAGGCAGGUCUCUGGGCCACUACUGACGCUGAGAAGCGAAAGCAUGGGGAGCGAACAGG